AGGAUAAACGCUGGCGGCGUGCCUAACACAUGCAAGUCGAACGCGCUUUCGGGCUUCGGUGCGAGAGCGAGUGGCGGACGGGUGAGUAACACAUGGGUACCUACCUUGGAGUGAGGGAUACCGGCGAGAAAUCGCCGACAAUACCGCAUAGGCUUCUUCACAAGGGAAGCAAAGUGACGCGAGUCACGCUGUGAGAUGGGCCUGUGGCCGAUUAGCUAGUUGGGGGGGUAACGGCUUCCCAAGGCGACGAUCGGUAGCUGGUCUGAGAGGACGAUCAGCCACACUGGGAUUGAGAACGGCCCAGACUCCUACGGGGGGCAGCAGUGAGGAAUUUUCCGCAAUGGAGGCAACUCUGACGGAGCAACGCCGCGUGCAGGAGGAAGGUUUUCGGAUCGUAAACUGCUUUUCGUCGGGGACGAGCAAGGACGGUACCCGAGGAACGAAGCCCCGGCUAACGUACGCGCCAGCAGCCGC
rnacentral:rRNA from 1 species